rnacentral:rRNA from 1 species
UUGGGAAUACCCGAAGCCUGUGAGCUAACUGUAAAGAGGCAGCAGUCGAAGGUAGAAUCAAUGAUUGGGGUGAAGUCGUAACAAGGUAAC